UGUGUGGAGGGAUAUCAUAGGGUGAUUGAGAUACAGGCCAACUGCACUCUCCUGUGCCUCGAGAGAGACUGAGAAGGGAGGAGGGACAAAGAGGAAUGAAAGGCAAGAAAGGAAUGAGAGAGGCAGAGGAAGGAAGAGUGUAUGAGAACAGCAGUGUGAGGACUGACUGCCAAACCAACUGCCUGUUGCUCCAGUGGAUUCCUCCUUCUCCUUCUCCUCUCUCUCCUCUCUCUCUCUCUCUAUCCCAUCUGUGUGCGCCUCCUCCUCUCAUCUUCCUCUUGGAUCUUCUGUAGCUGGUGUGGGAGCACAGAGGCUGAAGAGCAUGUCACUGCCCCUGGAUCUAGGCCCCUACCACCGGGACCAGGCCAUGAGCACGCUGGAGAGGCAGCUCAUCUGCCCCAUCUGCCUGGAGGUCUUCACCAAGCCAGUAGUCAUCCUGCCUUGCCAGCAUAACCUCUGCCGCAAGUGUGCCAACGAGCUCUACCAGCCGUCACUGUUUCAGGUUGGUACCGGUGGGCGCUUCCGCUGUCCUUCCUGUCGGCACGAGGUGGUUCUUGAUCGGCAUGGCGUGUACGGGCUACAGCGCAAUUUACUGGUGGAGAACAUCAUUGAUGUUUACAAGCAGGAAUCUGCUAGUUCCCGGCCCCUGCCAAAAGUUCCAGUGCAACUCACCUGUGAGGAACACGAGGGUGAGAAGGUCAACAUCUACUGCAUCUCCUGCAAUGUUCCCACCUGCUCGCUCUGCAAGGUUUUUGGAGCCCACAAGUCCUGCCAGGUAGCCCCUCUGCCAGAGGUCUACCAGCAGCAGAAGGCAGAGCUCAGUGAUGGGAUUGACUCACUGGUGGCCAGAAAUGAUCAAGUCCAAGCUUCCAUCAGUGAGCUAGAGGAGAUCUGUCGGAACAUAGAGGACAACAGCAAGACCCAGAAGCAGGCUCUUUGUGAGAAGUUUGAUCGUCUGUCUACCAUAUUAGAAGAGCGCCGGAAGAUCAUGACGCAACGCAUCACUUAUGAACAGGAUGAUAAGACAAACCACACUCAAUCUCUGGUCCGUACCUAUGGGGAGCAGGUGAACUCUAACUCCAAGCUGGUGGAGAAUGCUCUGCACACCAUGGAGGAGCCUGAAAUGGCUGCCUUUGUUCAGAAUGCAAAGAUUCUCAUUGAGAAAGUGAAUGAGGCAGCCAAUAGCAUUGUUGUGGAAACCCUUGAGCCUGGCUAUGAAAACAUGGACCACUACAAGGUGAAUUUCAAUGCAGAGGAGAGGGCUCUUUACCAGCUUGACUUCAUCAAGAUUGAAGAGGAAGUUGAGGAGGUCCCGGAAGAGCAGCCUGAGGCAGAACCUGAACCCAUUCCAGAACCGGAGACAGAACUGGACUCAGAGAAAGAACCAGAGCCUGAAGCCGGCCCUGCUCCCAUAUUGGAUCUUUUCCCCGAGGCAGAGGACUCAGAGCCAGUGCUAGAGCUGAAGUCUGAAACUUGGGGCGUCAAGGAUUCAGAAGAGGGGGAUAGGGAGGAGGUUCGGGGGCAGGCUGAGGGUUGCUCUGACCCCAAAAUCGUGGACCUUUGUAAACAAGAGGGGAUAAGCACCCAGCAGGAUGAGCAGGAGUGUGGGUGCGAGGAGCAUGAUGCAGGUGACUUGGGAACCCAGAGCUUGCUGGCAGGUGCUAACGAAGACACCAAGCUCUACCCCGGCUGGUACAAAGCCAACAGCUGGCAGGUGGCUAGUCCUAGUGUGGCCCAGUCCAGUGACUCACUGCAGGUGCCAGAUUGCCUUUCCCAAGUAGUAAGGGACUCCUCGCCCCAGUCUCCACCCCAGCCCCAAUUCCAACAGUCCUUCCCACUGCCCGUGUGGAUGGGCAGUGGUUUUAUCCCCAUGGCCCCAGAAAACCCAACCAGUCAUUUUGGGAGGGUUUCCUCAGAGACCGCUCCAGGGUUCCUCCAUCAGACAGGGGAUGGAGGCUCCGAUGUAGGCCAGCAUUCUACCAACCAAGGCAGCAUGAUUGCCAUCUCUCCACAGGUCAGUUUUUUCCCUCGGACUGGUUGUUCUCCUGCCGUGACCACCAAUCAUCAUUACCAUUGCUGCUGCUGCUGCUGCCAGUCCUGCUAGUCCUGCUGCUCUUUUCCAUCAAGUCACCUGUGCAUCAUGGCCGUCUCCGCCUUGCCUUUUUCAUCUUCCUCAACACUUUUCAUCAUCUCUGUCUUCUCGGUUGAGGGAAGGGCCUGGUUUAGGUGACUUUACAAAAUGCAAUAAUGUACUCAAAGAAAAUGGGUGUAAACUUAUUUGGGGUGACAGCUGCAGAAUGCUUGUAAUGUUGUUGGGAAAUAUUGUGUGUAUUUGAAAACUGUGUUGUGAAGCCACCUGCUAAUGGUCUUUCCCUCUGUCAUGUGACUGUGUGCCAGCCAGCAUCACUCUGAGGAUCUCAUUGCCAUGUUCCUCCAUCACUUCCAUCUCUUUGUAGGCCGUCACCUUCUUCUUUUACUUCCUGGCUUUGAUGGUCAUUCUUCAGCGGGUUUGGGGGCACAUUCAGUGCAUCAUUUGUACAUAGCAGUGAAGGAAGAGCCAAGUUUCAGGGUCACCCUCCUUCAGUGGGACCCCAGGACGGGAGAGUGAUGGAGCAGAUCACUGGGUCAACCUCAGAGCCCAGCCCUGGCGCCCCCUUGUGGCUGGACAUGUAGGGUGACAGGGCAGGCAGGCAGUCUUUAGCCCCAGUGUACCCUGCGCAGCCCGGGCCCAGCCUCCCUGUCAGCGGUGACUCCACACGCCUCAGCUUCUCAUUCUCCUGGCUGAAUGCUCUCUCCAAAAAGGCAAAGCAGUGAGAGCUUUGUGUCAAUCAAUGCCUCACACUACUAUCCACAAAAGGCAAACUAUAAAUGAAUGAAGACCUGUAGGUGAUGGACUAUGCUGAUUCCAGCCAGGACAUGUUCUGAGGAAGGCUUGUCUGUAUCAGAUUUUUUUCUGAUAAAAGUGCUACAAACAGAUUAUAAUUUUAUGUCAAUAAUGAAUUUUCAACUUGACCUUAGAAAAAUGACAAUGAGUGGAGAGUCACAUUUACCAUUAUUGAGUACAGAUUCCCACCUUCCUGAAAUUAAUUAUUUGAUUGCUGUGCUCAAUAUGUCUGUAUCUGAGCUAUGGCUAUUCUAUGCCUCAGUUUAGUUGCUGUUUGAGCCAGUAUUUUUUCAGUAGUUUUAGAGACAUACAGCUUAGUUUAUAAUUAAUGGUUACCUUGGACACAUUUUUCCUCACACUCAUUGAUUAUUUUUAUAGUAGGCUACAAGAUGUUGGAAGUGUGAUGUCCUUCAGUGAUUGUGGAAUAAAGGGCAUGAAACUUG